GUCGAGAAUCUUUCUCAAUGGGCGCAAGCCUGAAGGAGCGACGCCGCGUGGGGGAUGAAUGGCUUCGGCCCGUAAACCCCUGUCAUUUGUGAACAAGGUCUGCAGUUUAAGAGAUGGCAGGCUUGAUAGUAACGAAAGAGGAAGGGACGGCUAACUCUGUGCCAGCAGCCGCGGUAAUACAGAGGUCCCAAGCGUUGUUCGGAUUCACUGGGCGUAAAGGGUGCGUAGGUGGUGGGAAAAGUCUGAUGUGAAAGCUCCGGGCUUAACUCGGAAACGGCAUCAGAAACUUUCCCGCUAGAGGGUUGGAGGGGGGACUGGAAUUCUCGGUGUAGCAGUGAAAUGCGUAGAUAUCGAGAGGAACACCAGUGGCGAAGGCGAGUCCCUGGACAACUCCUGACACUAAGGCACGAAAGCUAGGGGAGCAAACAGGAUUAGAAACCCCAGUAGUCC
rnacentral:rRNA from 1 species